rnacentral:misc_RNA from 1 species
UCUCAUGCAAAUUGUUUGAAAUUCUUGAGGUGGAACAUUUGGCUUCCAUUGAAAAGCAUGUUUGUAAACUCUUACAUCAUUAGGAGUGAGAUUAUCCUAUAUAAUAAUGGGGUUUCUGAUUUAGAUUGGCCUAAAGAAAGAAAUCUAGCAUGAAUCAGUGCUGAAAUAAUGUAAUAUUUAUCCUUACACCAUAUUGCUGUAUAAUUUACUUGAAUUGAUGCUGGAGGAUUGUUCAUCAGCAAACCUAAGAGUUCUACCUAGGUGGUUUUGAGAGUAGUAUUUCCUGGAUUUG